AUCCAAAUCCAACUUUUACUAGAAAUUCCUAAUUGUUGCAAAAAAUGUCAAGUGUAUCUUACGUAUAUUUGUUGCCUCAUAUUUGUAAUGUGGGAUGGUUUGUUCUUGUAAUUUUACAGUUACCAAUAUGCAGGUUAUAUUAAUAAAAUGGAACAAAGACUUAGUAUGAAAUUACACCACUAACUACAGAAUGGACUUGCAAAGUCCAGGCUGUAGACAAAUUUCGGCCACGAGACAGUAGAGAUCAGCGAGUUCAUUUUCAGACAAUAAUUGUCCAGGAUGUAAACGAGGAACAAGUUUGUGUGAUACUUUAUGGUGACGAUAUUAGAAGAUGUGAUAACUUGUUCGAACUUUUUGAAACAUAUCUGAUUUCAACUGCCAAGGUUAGAAAUCCGCAACCUUAUUCACUACAUAUAGGCCAAUUUGAGUGGAUCGUUGACAGAUUUACUAUUGUGGAGUCUAUCUAAAAAAAUAAUGAAAAUGAGGCACUGUUACCUCCUCCGUUAAGACUGAGUACGAUUUCAUUCGCCGACGUUGCACAACAGCCUUCCGGUGUUGAAGUUGGUAUGUUUCAAAUUACCCUAUGCCUUAAAAUAGCUUAAUUGCUUGAAACUCAUGCAAGUAUAUUGGUUUUACGUACAUUUGUUUUUUGUUUAUAACAAUAGAUCUAUUAGAGUAAGAGAUUUCAAGAGGCCAUAGUUAUAGACAAAAUGUGAGUCAUUUAAUCUUCUGUUACAUAACAAAAUCUCUAGCUCACACUUAUAAAAGUACAUGUACAGGAAGAAACCUCUCUUCUUCACCUCUCUUCUUCACUAUAUGGGAAGACUUGGCAAGCAAUGAAGGAGCUGAGUUACUGAGACAAGUGAGGCAACUACAAGAAUAUCCUAUUAUUCUCGCGAAGCGGAUAGGUACCACAAAAUAUCAGGGUGUUACCCGUUUCGCAACAAGAUACAACUCAACAAUCUUAAUCAAUCCCCUAUAUGUGCAAGCAACUGAAUUACGGAAUUGGAUAAAUGAGAACAAACUAAUGCUAAUCGAAUACACAAUGAAGAGUUCAGCAGAGUCAGCUUCAUCACUUAAUCUUGUAGCUGUUGACGAUAAAAUAUUACCUGUUUCAGCUAUUGCUACGCAAACCUCCACUAUGAGUUCACUAAAUUACAAAAUAAAAUGCCGAGAACUGCCACACAAUGUAUCUUUUAUACAAUAUGGAUAAUAGUUCAAUAAAUUUUAUUAUGAGGAUUCGUAUAUAAAAAUUAUUUUUAGUGUUCUUUGUUCUUA